GAAGCCAGUGAGUCACGACGCCGUGCAACUGCAGGUGGGUCAGUGUCUCGCGCCGCUGGGUGGUUGCAGUGAGGCGCUGAGGGCCCUCAGGCCGGGCAGCGCGAGUGUACCCUGGUUCUUAUGCUCCUAGGUCUUUGAACAGCCGCGAUGUCGAUCUUCACCCCCACCAACCAGAUCCGCCUAACCAAUGUGGCCACGGUACAGAUGAAGCGCUCCGGGAAAUUGCCUGCUAUGGCCGAAAUCGCCUGCUACAAAAACAAGGUGGAGUGGCAUGGAAAAAGACCUUAAUGAAGUUCCGCAGAUGCACUCAGUGUUUGUAAAUGUUUCUAAAGGUCAGGUUGCAAAGAAGGAAGAUCUCAUCAGUGCAUUUGGAACAGAUGACCAAACUGAAAGCUGUAAGCAGAUUUUGACUAAAGGAGAGGUUCAAGUAUCAGAUAAAGAAAGACACACACGACUGGAGUAGAUGUUUAGGGACAUUGCAACUAUUGUGGCAGACAAAUGUAUGAAUCCGGAAACAAAGAGACCAUACACCGUGAUCCUCAUCGAGAGGGCCAUGAAGUACAUUCACUAUUCAGUGAAAACCAACAAGAGUACCAAACAGCAGGUUUUGGAAGUAAUAAAGCAGUUAAAAGAGAAAAUGAAGAUAGAGCGAGCUCACAUGAGACUUCGGUUCAUCCUUCCAGUGAAUGAAGGGAAAAAGCUGAAAGAAAAACUCAAGCCACUGAUCAAGGUCAUAGAAAGUGAAGAUUAUGGCCAACAGUUAGAAAUCGUAUGUCUUAUUGACCCGGGUUGCUUCAGAGAAAUCGAUAAGCUAAUAAAAAAGGAAAGCAAAAGCAAAGGUUCUUUGGAAGUGCACAAUUUCAAAGAUGUGGAAGAAGGAGAUGAGAAAUUUGAAUGACAUCCAUCAAUCUCCUUACCUCUAAAACACUAACGUGUUUUUGUUUCCCACAGCACUGUUUCAUGUCUGUGGUCUGCCAAAUACAUGCUCAAACUAUUUGACAUUUUCUAUCUUUGUGUUAACAGUGUAUAUAGCAAAGCUUUCCUACAGAAGCAUAAUAAUGUGGGAAUUAUUAAGUUUUAAUUAUAAGCUGGGGUCUAAAUCCUAAAGCAAAAUUGAAACUCCAAGAUGCAGAGUCCAGAGUAGCAUUUUGCUACUCUGUCUCAUCCCUUGAUAGCUUUCCAAACUGAAAGUUAUUUGAGGCAACUCUUGUGGGUAAAAAGUUAUUUGUACAGUAGAGUAAGAUUAUUUGAGAGGUAUUUCUAUAAAACAACAGGGGGAGUCUUUACUAAAAAAUAAACAUGAUGCUUCAUUUCUACUAAAUGGAACUUGUGUUAUGAGGGUCAUUAUGGUGUCAUAAUGUAAAGUUUGGAUGAUGUUCCUGAUUAUUUGAGAAACAGAUAUAGAAAAACUGUAUAUGUCUUAAAUAAUAUUCAAUGAAUGUGCUGCCAUAAUUUAGAUUAUUCUUCGUUAAGAAAUAAAAGUCACUUAUU